rnacentral:rRNA from 1 species
CCUACGGGGGGCAGCAGUGGGGGAUAUUGCACAAUGGGGGGAACCCUGAUGCAGCGACGCCGCGUGGGUGAAGAAGCGCCUCGGCGCGUAAAGCCCUGUCAGCAGGGAAGAAAAUGACGGUACCUGAAGAAUAAGCCCCGGCUAACUACGUGCCAGCAGCCGCGGUAAUACGUAGGGGGCAAGCGUUAUCCGGAUUUACUGGGGGUAAAGGGGGCGCAGACGGCAUUGCAAGCCAGGAGUGAAAGCCCGGGGCUCAACCCCAGGACUGCUCUUGGAACUGCGUGGCUGGAGUGCAGGAGGGGAAGGUGGAAUUCCUGGUGUAGCGGUGAAAUGCGUAGAUAUCAGGAGGAACACCGGUGGCGAAGGCGGCCUGCUGGACUGCAACUGACGUUGAGGCCCGAAAGCGUGGGGAGCAAACAGGAUUAGAUACCCUAGUAGUC